rnacentral:rRNA from 3 species
AGAGUUUGAUCAUGGCUCAGAUUGAACGCUGGCGGCAGGCCUAACACAUGCAAGUCGAACGGUAACAGGAAGCAGCUUGCUGCUUUGCUGACGAGUGGCGGACGGGUGAGUAAUGUCUGGGAAACUGCCUGAUGGAGGGGGAUAACUACUGGAAACGGUGGCUAAUACCGCAUAACGUCGCAAGACCAAAGAGGGGGACCUUCGGGCCUCUUGCCAUCAGAUGUGCCCAGAUGGGAUUAGCUUGUUGGUGAGGUAACGGCUCACCAAGGCGACGAUCCCUAGCUGGUCUGAGAGGAUGACCAGCCACACUGGAACUGAGACACGGUCCAGACUCCUACGGGAGGCAGCAGUGGGGAAUAUUGCACAAUGGGCGCAAGCCUGAUGCAGCCAUGCCGCGUGUAUGAAGAAGGCCUUCGGGUUGUAAAGUACUUUCAGCGGGGAGGAAGGUGUUGCGGUUAAUAACCGCAGCAAUUGACGUUACCCGCAGAAGAAGCACCGGCUAACUCCGUGCCAGCAGCCGCGGUAAUACGGAGGGUGCAAGCGUUAAUCGGAAUUACUGGGCGUAAAGCGCACGCAGGCGGUCUGUCAAGUCGGAUGUGAAAUCCCCGGGCUCAACCUGGGAACUGCAUUCGAAACUGGCAGGCUUGAGUCUUGUAGAGGGGGGUAGAAUUCCAGGUGUAGCGGUGAAAUGCGUAGAGAUCUGGAGGAAUACCGGUGGCGAAGGCGGCCCCCUGGACAAAGACUGACGCUCAGGUGCGAAAGCGUGGGGAGCAAACAGGAUUAGAUACCCUGGUAGUCCACGCCGUAAACGAUGUCUACUUGGAGGUUGUGCCCUUGAGGCGUGGCUUCCGGAGCUAACGCGUUAAGUAGACCGCCUGGGGAGUACGGCCGCAAGGUUAAAACUCAAAUGAAUUGACGGGGGCCCGCACAAGCGGUGGAGCAUGUGGUUUAAUUCGAUGCAACGCGAAGAACCUUACCUGGUCUUGACAUCCACAGAACUUUCCAGAGAUGGAUUGGUGCCUUCGGGAACUGUGAGACAGGUGCUGCAUGGCUGUCGUCAGCUCGUGUUGUGAAAUGUUGGGUUAAGUCCCGCAACGAGCGCAACCCUUAUCCUUUGUUGCCAGCGAUUAGGUCGGGAACUCAAAGGAGACUGCCAGUGAUAAACUGGAGGAAGGUGGGGAUGACGUCAAGUCAUCAUGGCCCUUACGACCAGGGCUACACACGUGCUACAAUGGCGCAUACAAAGAGAAGCGACCUCGCGAGAGCAAGCGGACCUCAUAAAGUGCGUCGUAGUCCGGAUUGGAGUCUGCAACUCGACUCCAUGAAGUCGGAAUCGCUAGUAAUCGUGGAUCAGAAUGCCACGGUGAAUACGUUCCCGGGCCUUGUACACACCGCCCGUCACACCAUGGGAGUGGGUUGCAAAAGAAGUAGGUAGCUUAACCUUCGGGAGGGCGCUUACCACUUUGUGAUUCAUGACUGGGGUGAAGUCGUAACAAGGUAACCGUAGGGGAACCUGCGGUUG